rnacentral:rRNA from 1 species
GACGGGGGAUUCAAGCGUUAUCCGGAAUCACUGGGCGUAAAGCGUCUGUAGGUGGUGAUGCAAGUCACUGGUGCAAAACUCUGGCUCAACGGGAGGAAAGCCAGUGAAACUGCAUGACUAGAGUGUGGGAGAGGUAGAAGGAAUUCCCUGAGUAGCGGUGAAAUGCGUAGAUACAGGGAAGAACACCGGAGGCGAAAGCGUUCUACAGGAACACAACUGACACUGAGAGACGAAAGCUAGGGGAGCGGAUGGG